rnacentral:rRNA from 1 species
ACACACCGCCCGUCACACCAUGGGAGCCGGGAAUGCCCGAAGUCAGCGGCCCAACCGAAAGGGGGAGCUGCCGAAGGCAGGCCUGGUGACUGGGGUGAAGUCGUAACAAGGUAGC